GUCGUCGGUAUCACGGCUAAUCAAGUCUGUUCCUCUGUCAAACACGGAUUCGUUUAUAUAUAACUCCUGACUGAGUCGAAUGGUAUCAUUGCUGUCCGUCUCGAUCCGCUCCAGAUUUCAACGUUUUACACUGUACCGAGUAACACACCGACUUAAAUGGAUUAAUUGUAGAAGUUCAUCGAAGCUUUCUUGAUGCGCGCUUAUAGUUUUUUUAGGCCUUCGGAAAGGCUUCGAGGCGAUAAAUUAUCUCGGAAACAGAUACGCUACAACCAGAGCAACAUGUCCCGAUGCAAAUGUCCCAAAUCAGACGUCGAUUCUGGUCCGAAACCUCGAUCAGCGUACUUCGAAGACAUCACGUCAAAAAUGGAAGAGCGUCGUUGCGAUCUCGUAGGCAAAGAAAAAUAUUUGAGGGACAAAAUCACGACGAUGGAACGGUCUAUACCUGCGUUGGUAGCGUUCAAUAUGUGGAUGGCGAAGAAGUGCGAGAACGCACCGUAUUGCAAGGUUCGCGAGAUCAUGAAAAGAUUCGCCCCCUAUCCGGACCAAACCGAGAAACUGUUAAGCAGCUUGAAGAGGACCGUGAGAGAACUAAACGGAGAGACAACCGAGUUGCAUGAGAAGAUUAUUCAAGCGGACGUUCAAUUAGAGGAAACGGACAUAGAACUAGAAUCGUUGGAGCUCGCGAACGAAGAAAUGAACGACACCCUGAAGAAUUUGGAGAAGGAGGUGCGAAGUUACGAAACACCGAGUCUUCAUUCUAUACGUUCCGAAGACUUAAUUUGCUUGUCGAAAAUACGUCAAUUAGCCGAAGAAGAAUUGAAUCUGAAGAAUCAUAUCAAGGAACUAGAGCAAAAAGAGACACUGUUCAAAGAGCACAUAGAUCGUUUGGCGGUGUCCAAGGAGUAUCAAAGCGUUUGCGGGAGACGGAGGAUCGAUUGUGCUCAGGAUCUAGAAUGCAACGCGACUAAGAUUCGAUGCGUGCCUAGAGAAUGCUCGACGCGUCUUCCGACCUGUUUAAGAAAGAAGCAACCACGACAGAAACUUAUCGGUAAAAGCGACGUGGUCGUUUCUACCUCGGACCGGGACAUUAACGAUAAACGAGAAGAGGAAAUUAAAGAAGAAAAACCGGCAGAAGAGAUAGAAAAGAAACGUUCGUGGAUACCAAACUGGUGGAACAGUAAUCACAAAGUCCAAACAGUUUCAUCCGAAGCGAAAAGUGCUGUCUUAUCGUAUUCGGAGAACAAUUGUUUUUUCGUGUUACAGAAAUUUGGGAAAAACGAGGAAGAAACGAAAGAGGAAAACACGAUGAACGAUAAACCUCCUAAGCAAUCGAUAUCAAAAUUUUCGACUCCUUCUUGCGAACCUUGUGGACAUUCGCCCUGCCCGCCGACGACUUCUACGAAAUUUCCCCGCUCUUCUUAUCCAUGCGUUGGACCACGAGAGCUUCGUAGUAUAAUAAAGAAAUCUUGCACCGGAAAUAUCUCUUUGUGCAACAUACAAGUGAAAAGUUCACCCAAAGAUAGAUACAUGAGAAAAGGUUGUUGCGACAUAUCGUCUUGUACGGUCGCGGAUCAUGGUAUUCGAAAGUCGUGUAUACCAAUGAUACCAGCUUGUGAUCUAAAAAAUCUUUGUGAAAUUUGUCCUUCGCCGUGUAAGAAUUUUCUACGCUCCGGAGGAAAUAAUUGCAGAUGUAAUUGCAAGGGUAAGUGUGCUCUAGGUUUAUCGGAUACAGAUUGCAAUUGCAGCGAUGCAUUGGAUCCUUCGGAAGAGUAUCGUCCAAUCGCUUCGAAACAAUUGGACGCGCACGUAGAAGGCAACAAUAGCGAGGACGAAUAUUGCGAAUGUUGUUCCUGCGGUUGCGAAGAUAGCGAUGCAUCCUUAUCGUGUCGAUGUAACUGACUGUUGGUAAGAUGACAAUGGGCGGUAUAGAUUGAACAGAAUUUCUAUGUUUAAAUCGUACAUAGAGAGCACAAUAAAACUUUCGAUAUUUUUGCACAGUCGAUAUGUUUCGUAUUACUGCCACAAGAGUGUAUUCAUUCGUUGAAAACAAAUUCAAAACUACGAUUCGAUGAAACGAAGGGAUUUUAAACGUGGACGGCUUAAAUUGGUCUCGAUAUGUCCAAGAAUAUUUUUUGAAUGAAGAUCAACGUUCCAACAGCUCGUUAAAAUAAUACGCAAUAGCAUCUGUAAAUUGGACGGACCAAAAAU
rnacentral:misc_RNA from 1 species